rnacentral:rRNA from 1 species
UACGGAGGGUGCGAGCGUUAAUCGGAAUUACUGGGCGUAAAGCGCACGCAGGCGGUUUUGUUAAGCUAGAUGUGAAAGCCCCCGGGCUCAACCUGGGAUGGUCAUUUAGAACUGGCAGACUAGAGUCUUGGAGAGGGGAGUGGAAUUCCAGGUGUAGCGGUGAAAAUGCGUAGAUAUCUGGAGGAACAUCAGUGGCGAAAGGCGACUCCCCUGGCCAAAAGACUGACGCUCAUGUGCGAAAGUGGUG